AGAGUUUGAUCAUGGCUCAGAUUGAACGCUGGCGGCAGGCCUAACACAUGCAAGUCGAACGGUAACAGGAAGCAGCUUGCUGCUUUGCUGACGAGUGGCGGACGGGUGAGUAAUGUCUGGGAAACUGCCUGAUGGAGGGGGGAUAACUACUGGAAACGGUGGCUAAUACCGCAUAACGUCGCAAGACCAAAGAGGGGGACCUUCGGGCCUCUUGCCAUCAGAUGUGCCCAGAUGGGAUUAGCUUGUUGGUGAGGUAACGGCUCACCAAGGCGACGAUCCCUAGCUGGUCUGAGAGGAUGACCAGCCACACUGGAACUGAGACACGGUCCAGACUCCUACGGGAGGCAGCAGUGGGGAAUAUUGCACAAUGGGCGCAAGCCUGAUGCAGCCAUGCCGCGUGUAUGAAGAAGGCCUUCGGGUUGUAAAGUACUUUCAGCGGGGAGGAAGGUGUUGUGGUUAAUAACCGCAGCAAUUGACGUUACCCGCAGAAGAAGCACCGGCUAACUCCGUGCCAGCAGCCGCGGUAAUACGGAGGGUGCAAGCGUUAAUCGGAAUUACUGGGCGUAAAGCGCACGCAGGCGGUCUGUCAAGUCGGAUGUGAAAUCCCCGGGCUCAACCUGGGAACUGCAUUCGAAACUGGCAGGCUUGAGUCUUGUAGAGGGGGGUAGAAUUCCAGGUGUAGCGGUGAAAUGCGUAGAGAUCUGGAGGAAUACCGGUGGCGAAGGCGGCCCCCUGGACAAAGACUGACGCUCAGGUGCGAAAGCGUGGGGAGCAAACAGGAUUAGAUACCCUGGUAGUCCACGCCGUAAACGAUGUCUACUUGGAGGUUGUGCCCUUGAGGCGUGGCUUCCGGAGCUAACGCGUUAAGUAGACCGCCUGGGGAGUACGGCCGCAAGGUUAAAACUCAAAUGAAUUGACGGGGGCCCGCACAAGCGGUGGAGCAUGUGGUUUAAUUCGAUGCAACGCGAAGAACCUUACCUGGUCUUGACAUCCACGGAAGUUUUCAGAGAUGAGAAUGUGCCUUCGGGAACCGUGAGACAGGUGCUGCAUGGCUGUCGUCAGCUCGUGUUGUGAAAUGUUGGGUUAAGUCCCGCAACGAGCGCAACCCUUAUCCUUUGUUGCCAGCGAUUAGGUCGGGAACUCAAAGGAGACUGCCAGUGAUAAACUGGAGGAAGGUGGGGAUGACGUCAAGUCAUCAUGGCCCUUACGACCAGGGCUACACACGUGCUACAAUGGCGCAUACAAAGAGAAGCGACCUCGCGAGAGCAAGCGGACCUCAUAAAGUGCGUCGUAGUCCGGAUUGGAGUCUGCAACUCGACUCCAUGAAGUCGGAAUCGCUAGUAAUCGUGGAUCAGAAUGCCACGGUGAAUACGUUCCCGGGCCUUGUACACACCGCCCGUCACACCAUGGGAGUGGGUUGCAAAAGAAGUAGGUAGCUUAACCUUCGGGAGGGCGCUUACCACUUUGUGAUUCAUGACUGGGGUGAAGUCGUAACAAGGUAACCGUAGGGGAACCUGCGGUUG
rnacentral:rRNA from 1 species